AUACUUUUAAGCAGUGAGGCUCAUUCAGAUCAGACCCAAGAUGAAUAUCAGGAGCUCAAGGUGCUUUCCCUUUGAGGUCUGCAGUUCUGUGAGAGGAUAUUCUGCUGUGAAUAUGACACCCUUUCCUUUCUCUCAGUAUUUAGCUGUGAUCCACUGGCCAAAUACACAGUUUCUGUAAGAGUACAACAGGAGGGCAACGUAUCUUCAUGAAUGAAAAGACAAGACAACCUCCCACAAAAAGGCAGAUGGCUACCACUUAGCCCACAUUAGUUCAGUUGGUCUGUUAUUUAUUCUCCUUGAAAUGAGGUCUCUCUGUGGAAAGUACAUGUUUCUAAGCUGCCAUGUGGGACACCAAGAGUCAUUCUUUUAAUAAAUCAGAAUUAUUUCUAAUUUGUUCAUAUCAGUCAGCCUUGCCAGGUUUUACAAUGACACUUUGAAAUGAGGCUUCAAGAUUUAUGUUGGGUCUAGGCAAGCCCUGUGAAAUUCCUCUGAAGCAAGAUGGCAGAUGACAAAGACAAAGCAACUAAUAUUAAAAUAUUUGAGUGAAAAUAGGCAUCUUCAGCAAGAAAAGAAGUCCAGAGUUCCAUCAUUUAGAAUAUCCUAAAUAAAUAUCACAAAUUUCUCUUAACACUUACUAUUUUUCUGCAUUCAGUCACCCCCACCACCCCCCAGGGUACAUCAGAAGCAAGCAUGAGGGGAAACCAGGCUGAAGCUACAGCUGCUGCUUUGAUGUGCUCCCUCAUGACAACAUAGUUAUGUCAGAUCUGAUGUCAUGAGGCAAUUUUGUUCUUCCAUGUGAGUGGGAACAGAGUGGAACUGACAGAUUUCAGCCUUCACAAUGGCCUCCUGCUCAGCACCACUGCAAUUUUCAUUAAGUCUCUUUACUGCAAAGGAGAAGAGAUUGGCCCCUCGUUUUCAUCUUCACAUGGACUUGGUUCUCCUCUGCUUCGUGAGCUGAGUCACAGAGCUGGACAUUCUCAAAUGUGUAUGUUAUUGUGACUGGAGAAUGACAGACACGUUUGGCCAAGCAACCUAAAUGUAAAAACCACACUUUUACAAUACACAGUUGUAAUCUGGCAAUCUGAGUCUCUGUAACUUGUUGGCCAGAUGGGAGUGAGACAGGAAGAGCAGCACUUGCAGAACAGCAGUCACCCAGACCUGUGCCAGAAGGAGAGAGCUACUAGGGCAUGAACCCUCAAAGUUACACACCCAGAGUGCUCUGGAUGUGGUCCAGAGCCAGAAGAAAUUCUCUGCCAAUAGCACUUUGGCCUUCACAAGACACAUUUCCCAAAAACCUUGGACUAAAUGGAAAGGAAAAACAUUUUGUCUGCUGUAUGAAAACUUUACCCUCCAGAAUUAGGGGGAAAUACAGGAAAGCUAAACAAGAUAUAUGCAGCUUCCCUGGUAUGUUAAUCUGAAGACAGAGAAGAGAAACAAAAUCAGAUGCAAGACCUGAGAAACUGAAUUCAAGGUCAGUUGCAGAUCAAGAAGUAGUUUUCCUGCAGAGGAGCCAACAGCAGAUGAAAUCUGUAAUGGAAACAGAGAGAGAGCUGGGGACAGACCGCAUAAAUAUGUGCAGUUUUCAAGGAAACAGGUGUCCAUUUAUUGUAGAACAUAAAGGUUUCUCCAUGUCACUGCAUAUGGCUAUGUCUGCAGCACCAAAAAUACCACUUU